UCCUCCAUUAUGAGUCCAGCCAUUGAAGAAACAUUGAAACGUACUUUUAGGUACGUCGCGCAUUAGCUCAAAUACAAUAUGAAUUGGAUAUAUCAAUGUCAAAACUUGUUUUUUUACAGACCGGUACAUCAAUUAUUUCGAGCUAAUAUUUGACGUAUCUCAAAGUUCGAAUCGACCAGUAAAUCACCUACAUAAUUGAUGAAAUUUUUUUAUUUCUUUCAGAAAGGUGAAGUGAACAAGGACGCUUACGGCUUGACCCCGAUUCUCCCGGACUUAUUGGAAAUGGGCCCGGAUUGAAAUUAGGUAACGAAGGGUGUUUAUCUAUAAAGAAAUAUAUCUACGGACUUCAUCAAUAAAACAAAACACUGUAUAAGUAAAUAUUUUUGUAUCCAUGAAGUGUCAAAUAACAGUAUCUAAAAUGUAAUACAAAUAAAUAAAUAAUAAAGAAACAUUAAAUA